rnacentral:lncRNA from 1 species
GCCGUAUUUUCUGGUGUCCAUUAUCCAUCUGGCUAGUUCCACGAGGUAAACAUUUCUCCUUUGUUCUCUCUCUCCCCUCUCCUGCUUUGCUCCUAACCUGCUCUGCUCCUAGGUUACUCCCACACCACCAGCACCUCUGCCCAUGUGAGGCCUAUUCAGAUGCUUAGGCACAAACAGAUGCAAAUAAGAGGCACAUCACCCUCAGGCCAGGUAAACAGCUACAGCCUGGUGUUAAUUAACAAUACAAUGGCGACUCUGGGCCACAGCUGUUUAUGUGGCCAGGGCCUGGAACACAGAAUAUUCCAUAACAGGGACAUUAGGUCCCCCACCCCCUAGAUGACACAGGACACCCGAGGCUGACUCAGGACACCCCGAGUGAUUCAGGACACCCCAGGAUGACUCAGGAUUCCCCAGGUUGUCUCAGGACACCCCAGGAUGGCUCAGGACACCCCAUCCUGAUUCAGACACCCCAGGCUGACACAGAACACCCCGGGAUGACACAUGACACUCCAGAAUGUCUCAGGACACCCCAGGCUGACACAGGACACCCCAGAAUGACACAUGAUUGCCCUGGAUGACUAAGGACAACCCAGCAUGACUCAGGACACCCCAGGCUGACUCAGGACACCCCAGACUGGCACAGGGCACCUCAGCCUCAUUCAGACACCCCAGGCUAAUACAGAACACCCCAGGAUGACACAUGACACACCAGGAUGACUCCAGGAUGACUCAGGACACACCAGCCUGACUAGGGACAACCCAGAGUUACUCAACACAGCCCAGUCUGACACAGGACAACCCAGGAUGACACAUGGUACCCCAGGAUGACUCAGGACAUCACAGGAUGGCUCAGGUCACCACAGUCUAACACAGGACACCACUGGCUGACACAGGACACCCCAGGAUGACCCAGGACACCCCAGGGUGACUCAGGACAACCCAGCUUGAGUCAGAACAUCCCAGGCUGACUCAGGACACCCCAGGAUGACUCAGUACAUCCCAGUGUUACACAGGACACCCCAGGCUGACACAGGACGAGAUGACACAGGACACCCAGUCUUACACAGGAUAUCCCAGAAUGAAUCAGGACUCCCCAGGAUGACUCAGGACACCCCAGGCUUACACAGGCCACCCCAGGCUGACACAGGACAACUCAGGAUGACACAAGGCACCCCAGGAUGACACAGGACACAUGAGGCUGAAUGCAGGGCACCACAGGAUGACUCAGGACACCCCAGGAUGAAUCAGGAUUCUCCAGAUGGCUCAGGACACCCCAGGCUGUCACAGGACACCCCAGGAUGAUUCACGAACCCCCAGUAAGACACAGACCCCCCCCCAGGAUGACCCAGGACACCCAGUCUUACACAGGACACCCAAGGAUGAAUCAAAAGACCCAAGGAUGACACAGGACACCCCAUGGUGACACAGGAAUACCCAGGAUGACACAGGACAACCCAGGCUGACUCAGAACUCCCCAGGAUGGUUAAGGGCACCCCAGUCUUACACAGGACACCCAAGGAUGAAUCAAAAGACCCAAGGAUGACACAGGACACCCCAUGGUGACACAGGAAUACCCAGGAUGACACAGGACAACCCAGGCUGACUCAGAACUCCCCAGGAUGGUUAAGGGCACCCCAGGUUGACUCAGCACAGCCCAGGAUGACACAGGACACCCCAGGCUGGAUGAGGACAACCCAGGCUGACUCAAACACACCAGGAUGACUCACGAAAUUGCAGGCUGAUGCAGGAAAUCCCAGGCUGACAAAGGACACCCCAGAAUGACUCAGGACAUCCCAGCCUGACUAAGGACACCCCAGAGUGGACUCAGGACAACCCAGGAUGACUCAGGAUAACCCAGGCUGACACAGGACAAUGAGGACAAUACAGGACACCCAGUCUUACACAGGACAUCGCAGGAUAACAAAGGACACCACAGCUGACACAGGACAACCCAGGGAUGACUCAAGACACCCCAGGAUGACUCAGGAGACCCCAGGAUUACUCAGGACACCCCUGGCUGACACAGGAAAUCCCAGGGUGACACACAACACGUCAGGCUGACCCCAGUCUUACACACGGCAUCCCAGGAUGAAUCAAGAGAACCUAGGAUGACUCAGGACACCCCAGACUGACACAGGACUCCCCACUAUGACACAGGACAACCCAGGGUGAGACAGGACACACAAGGCUGACUCAGGACACCCCAGGCUGACUCAAGACUCCCCAGACUGAAUCAGGAAUCCCCAGGCUGACUCAGGACGUCCCAGGCUGACUCAGGACACCCCAGGAUGACAAAGGACACCCCAGGCCGAAACAGGCCACCCCAUGAUGACUCAGGACACCCCAGGAGGCCUCAGGACACCCCAGGAUGACAUAGGACAACCAAGGAUGAACCAGGACACUCCAGGAUGACUCAGGACAUCCCAGCCUGACUGAGGACACCCCAGAGUGGACAACCCAGGAUGACACAGGACACUCCAGUUGACACAGGAUACCCCAGGAUGACACAGGAAAUCCCAGGCUGACACAGGACACCCCAGGAUGACUCAGGACACCCCAGGAUGAUUCAGAAACCCCAGGCUGACACAGAACACCCCGGGAUGACACAUGACACUCCAGGAUGACUCCCGACAUGCCAGCCUGACUAGGGACAUCCCAGAGUUACUCAACACACCCCAGUCUGACACAGGACACCCCAGGCUGACACAGAACACCCCAGUCUGACACAGGACACCCCAGGAUGACACAUGGUACCCCAGGAUGACUCAGGACAUCACAGGAUGGCUCAGAUCACCCCAGGCUGACACAGGACACCCCACGCUGACACAGAACACCCCAGUCUGACACAGGACACCCCAGGAUGACACAUGGUACCCCAGGAUGACUCAGGACAUCACAGGAUGGCUCAGAUCACCCCGGGCUGACACAGGACACCCCAGGCUGACACAGGACACCCCCUGAUAACUCAGGACACCCGAGCGUGACACAGGACACCCCCGGAUGACUCAGGACAUGCCAGGAUGACUCCGAAGAUGCCAGGAUGACUCAGGACACCCAAUGAUUACUGUGGACACCCCAGGGAGACUCAGGACACCACGAGUGAUUCAGGACACCCCAGGCUGACACAGGACAUCCCAGGGUGACUCAGGACACCCCAGGCUGACACAGGACAACCCAGGAUGACUCACAACAUCCCAGGGUGACACAGGACACCCAAAGAUGACAAAGGACACCCCAGGAUGACACAGGUCACAUCAGACUGACUCAGGACACCCGAGGUUGACUCAGGACAACCCAUGAUGUCAAGAGACUCAGCAGGAUGACAAAGGACACAACAGGAUCACCUAGGACACCCCAGGAUGACUCAGGAAACGCUAGGAUGACACAGGACACCCCAGACCGACUCAGGAUCCUCCAGGAUGAUAUAGGACACCCCGUGGUGACUCAGCACAACCAAGAGUGACUCAGGACACCCCACACUGACCAGAACACCCCAGGCAGGCUUAGCACACCCAGGCUAGGUUGACAGGCUAUGUCCUCUCCCACCCAUCCUCCCCGUCCUCCCCCAUCCUCCACAGUCUUCCCCGUCCUCCCCUG